rnacentral:lncRNA from 1 species
CGCGUUCCCGAGCGGGAUGCCCGCUCGCCUGCCGGCGCUACGCCCUUGCGCGUGAGCCGCUCCGGAGCGGCGGCCUCCGGCCGGGCCGCUGGCGAUGCCUGCCUCGCGGGGCGGGGAGAAGGGUAAAGGUGGCUGUUUCCUUCCUACAUCGGCUCCCAGAGCGCGCGGAGUGGAGGUGUGAACCGCGUAGCUGGCCUCCUCGAGCCUCAGUUUCCCGUUGUGGACGAAGGUGCGAAGAGUCCCAGCGAAGGCUGUGCCGGAGCCGGGAGAGGCGGUGGACGCAAACCCUUUGCGCGCCGGGCCUGGGUUCUUACUUUACAUUCAAAUGGACAAAAAGGAUGCACAAUGAAAAGUAGGUCUGUUUCCACUCUGCAUCCAGACUUUGCUUUUCUUAAAGUCUACAUCAUUAUGCCUUCCUCAAGUGUCCUUCAAAGAGAUAAUUUUUGCAUGUGCAAACAACUGUUUUGGAAGUAAGUGGAAGGGUGCUCUGCACAGUGUUCCAUACAUUACAUUUUUAUGUACCCGGAAGAUCUUUUCACAUCAUCUUUUUAAUGACAGCAUACAACUUAAUUUAAUCAAUGUAAUUUAUUUAUCAGGCCCUUUAUUGAUGGGCGUUCAUGUUGUUUCUGACUCUAAGCCAUUACAAAUAGUACUGCAUUAAGUAAUCUCUAAUAAUUCAUUUACACACAGGAAAGUAACACUGCAGAAACAUGUCUAGAUGUGAAAGGCAGAACCACAAGGUAUGUACAUUUGUAAUUUUGAUAUCUCUUGCCAUUAUUUUAUUUUAUUUCAUUUGAUUUUUAGACAGGCUCUCACUAUGUAGCACAGGCUGGCCUUGAACUCAUGGCAGUCUUCCUGCCUCAGCCUCCUGUGUGCUGAGAUUACAGGUGGUGUGCCACCAUGCCUAGCUAUUAUAUUUUAAUUUUUAUCUGGCCAUAAUUUAAAAGUGUACUCCAACUUACACUUCCACGUGGGAUGUGUUAGUGUUCCUGCUUUCCCACACCCUCACCCACACAUUAUGUAACCAAACUCUUUGAUCUAUGCCAAUCUGUGAAGUGCAAAUAUUACUGAAUAAUUCUAGUUUACAUUCCUCUUACAUCAAGAUUGAACACCUUCUCCUGUAGACACAACAGCCCCAAUAUUUUACCUAUUCUCUGAACUUUUAUGUCUGCUACUUUCUAGGAAAAACCCUUCAACAUUCAAAUUAAUAAAAAGCCUUCUUUGAUCACCUAUAACUAAAGACAGAUCAUCAAAUCUGGCUGUAUUAUUUUUUGAAUGUGAAGAAACAAAUACUAAUUUUGAUGGGGUCACUAAUUUACAGAUAUUAAAUUCAUGGGAUAUAAUUCAUUACUGAAGUAAACUAAAAUUUAUCCUCUUCUUUCAAAGGAACAAGUUUUCCAUCCGUGCAACAAUACAGAUGAAUAUUAAAUGCAUAUUUCCGAGUAAAAGAAGCCAGAAUGAUAAGCCUGGAGAAAUCUACUUUCUAGAAAAGGCAGAAGUUAUAGAGACAGAAAACAGAUCAGCCAGUUAUUGCUGAGAGUUUGGGGAAAGGAAAGCAUUCACUCUGUGACGCACGGGGGAUUUUGAGGACCUUGAAAGGAUUUUGUAUGCUACUGUAGUGCUGGUGAGGUGACUCUGUCCAUUGUCAAAACCCAUAGAACUUUGCUGAAGAGUGAACCUUAAUGUAUGCAAAUUUUUAAACAAUCAACUGGGAUGGGUGAGGGAUCCCAGAAUGGAAAACCGACAGUGACAAAAGAAAUGAAGUAUAUCACAGAUUUAUAUCUUAACCUCACUGAAAAGGAUGGGGAAUAUAUUUGGAAAUGACUGGAAACUAAGACUGAAGACAAAAGUUAACUGUAUCUAGCACUAUACUCUAGUUGGUGAGAGUGCUGGUCAGGGUACAAGUCUACCAUUCUGAAACCACUGCACGCAUGUGCUGGGAUUGAACGAAUGUCAAUGGCUGGCAGAUGGUGGGAGCCAGGUUUCUCCCUGCGGAGAGGAAAGCUCCAGGUGAGCAAGGAGAGGGAAGCUUGAAUGAAGUAUGUGGUUCUGGGUUAGAAUCGGAGACAAAUAUGAACUCAUAUUUAGCAUAGCAUAUGUAUGAACAGAUACAUAUGGAAAUGAUUGUAAAUAAGUGUAUAUACACAGGAUAGUACAUAUACAGAUAUUUCUUAGCCCUAUCCAUUCAGGUGGCCUAGAAGUGACAACAUCGCAGUAUGAACAAACACACCUAGUGACCAGAUUUUUGUUUCUAACACCAAUCUCCAGUAAAAGGAACCAGGACUCCUGGGAGGAAAGGCUGAUUCCAGGACUGGGCCAAAGAAUAUACAAGAUGAGCUGAGAACAUCUUGCAGUUCCAGAAGGUAAGGAAGUGUUCAAAACUUAAAAUGAUGGGAGCAUAACAAAGGACCUAGAAGCCAAGUGAAAAAAAUCCCAA